UCCUGCGGCUCCCUCAGGAUCUUCCUCGGGCAGGAUUCCUUUGAUGGGAGCAGAGAAAUUGUUACCACAUUUUCCACAAUUUGACCACCGCUUCCCACUCUCCAACUUGGUUUGCUAUUCUCCCCUUCCCAGAAAGUUUAGCGCACUUCGCAAGGCCGCGUUAUGACUUUCGUGGAACCGCGACACAUUGGCCUUGUGUUUGUGGAGGUGGGUAGAUAGUCCUAGAUUGGAGCACAGCAAAGAGAUGUUCAUCAUCGGCAUGUGGUGUAAAUGACACAAGCUGGUGGUCAGCUGGAAGAUACAGCAAAUGUACAAGGGGCUACCUAUUCCUAGGGAGAGAGAAUUGGGAUCACUCCAGAAUUCCUCGAAGUGGACUAGCUGUGUUCAAGGACGUGUGCAUUUUACCCUCAAUAAAUGUGGCCAACAUGCCCUCCUCCAAAAAGCAGAAUCAAUUUACACUCCCAUUAGCAGCCAGCUUAGCAGAGUUUAUUUUCCCACAU